AAAAUUUUUUAAAAGUUUUUUAUUUUAUAUCCAUUCAUAUAGAAUGGAAACACCAAAAUUCAUACGUCUAUUGCGAUAUUGAAUUGCGAGCCACGAGCAGACAGGUCUAUCAUCAGCUCACGUCUGAUCCGCAAGUUGAUUAUUAUUCUGCUUCCUACUGAA